CAUCUGUUGCGGCCAGCGCGCCGCAGAGACACCGAGAAACAGCGCCCCCUGCAGGGCGUGUCCGACAGCGACACACAGCGUCGACGCGACUGCCAGCAGCUGUGAGAGACACUCACAGAGCAAACACACUACCUCCAGAUAUGGGCCACACGCAUCUGCGGCGUGAACGUAGCCGAGCUGAACCGGGAGCAGAACGCAAGUCAGGAGAGAGUGAGAACGAA